GCCUGGCUAGCUCAGUUGGCAGAGCAUGUGAUUCUUGAUCUCAGGGUUGUGGUUUUGAGCCCCAUACUGGGUA
rnacentral:tRNA from 1 species